rnacentral:rRNA from 1 species
GAUGAACGCUGGCGGCGUGCCUAAUACAUGCAAGUCGAGCGAAUGGAUUAAGAGCUUGCUCUUAUGAAGUUAGCGGCGGACGGGUGAGUAACACGUGGGUAACCUGCCCAUAAGACUGGGAUAACUCCGGGAAACCGGGGCUAAUACCGGAUAACAUUUUGAACCGCAUGGUUCGAAAUUGAAAGGCGGCUUCGGCUGUCACUUAUGGAUGGACACGCGUCGCAUUAGCUAGUUGGUGAGGUAACGGCUCACCAAGGCAACGAUGCGUAGCCGAUCUGAGAGGGUGAUCGGCCACACUGGGACUGAGACACGGCCCAGACUCCUACGGGAGGCAGCAGUAGGGAAUCUUCCGCAAUGGACGAAAGUCUGACGGAGCAACGCCGCGUGAGCGAUGAAGGCUUUCGGGUCGUAAAACUCUGUUGUUAGGGAAGAACAAGUGCUAGUUGAAUAAGCUGGCACCUUGACGGUACCUAACCAGAAAGCCACGGCUAACUACGUGCCAGCCGCCGCGGUAA